rnacentral:rRNA from 1 species
AAAGCGUGCGCAGGCGGUUUUGUAAGUCUGUCGUGAAAUCCCCGGGCUCAACCUGGGAAUGGCGAUGGAGACUGCAAGGCUAGAGUUUGGCAGAGGGGGGUAGAAUUCCACGUGUAGCAGUGAAAUGCGUAGAUAUGUGGAGGAACACCGAUGGCGAAGGCAGCCCCCUGGGUCAAAACUGACGCUCAUGCACGAAAGCGUGGGGAGCAAACAGGAUUAGAUACCCGGGU